rnacentral:rRNA from 1 species
UACAGAGGGUGCGAGCGUUGUUCGGAAUUACUGGGCGUAAAGCGCACGCAGGUGGCUGAGUCAGUCGAUUGUGAAAGCCCUGGGCUUAACCUGGGAAUUGCAGUCGAUACUACUCGGCUCGAGUAUGGGAGAGGGCAGUGGAAUUCCCGGUGUAGCGGUGAAAUGCGUAGAUAUCGGGAGGAACAUCAGUGGCGAAGGCGGCUGCCUGGCCCAAUACUGACACUCAGGUGCGACAGCGUGGGGAGCAAACAGG